CAAAUCUUUUGCGAGCCUGUGGGCGUGCCUUUACGGUGCGUGCGCAGUAACUCACAACAUUAGCACAAGGCCGCAAGGUCUUGAUGUUUACGCUUGUUUGUUUGACAGAGUUAGUUGAGAAAUAAUAAAGA
rnacentral:misc_RNA from 1 species